rnacentral:tRNA from 1 species
UGGUUCGUAGCUCAAUUGGGAGAGCAGCGGUCUCCAAAGCCGCCGGUUGCAGGUUCGAGUCCUGCCGGGCCAG